rnacentral:lncRNA from 1 species
ACAGAUUCCCCAUGAAUUGGAUUACUGCCCUAUAAAGAGGCUUCAGAGACCUUGGUCAACCUUUCUUCCGUGUGAGGACACAGCAAGAAGGCACCAUCAAUGAAGCAGUUUCUGUCUUCCUCAACCCCUCAAGAUCAGCGCUUUAGCUGCAAGUAAAUGCCUUCUUGCAUUGGAUUCUUCCCAUAAACUUCCCUGCUCAUUUCUCCCGUGGAUUGGGCCUUCUAUGACUGCACAUAUAUAGUCGCUUCAGAAUAGAAAGCCGCUUUCUCCCUUAGCAAGAUGCAGUUUUGUCUAGGAGAACUGAAGCAAUGAAGCAUAGGAAAGACAGAUCUGCAAAGAGCCAAAGAUGGCAGAAAGACUUCUGGAACCUGGAAAAAAUAAACUAAAGUGUUACAAGUGAUUAACCUAGGAAGGAAAGAAAUGGAG